CACUGGGAGAGGGGGCGGGCUGCUGGCUAGGAGGGGUCGGCGCGGUUCCUGGCGCGCCACCGGAAGGGCGUUAUCCUGGGGGACUGGGAGUGGAAACUUUCCUCCCGGGAAAGGAAGAAACCCGACUGGAGAAAGACUCAUUCAGUCUAAACCGCAGCCCCUGGAAUUGGUAGGCAAAACAGCUGUGCUGAAUUAACUGGGGAUCUGAGGCCGACCAUUUGAAAGUCUGGUCUUCUUCCAAAGCGAGUUUGGGGCCCUGCCUGAUGCUGGACUCUUACAUGGUAGGAGAGUGAGUCACCCAAAGAGAGAGGCGGCGGGAGACCGGAAAGUGGAAAUACAAAGAUGCCUUGGAAAGCUAAUUUGGUUCACGUUACAUUUCAGUCACCUUAGGUUCAUGAGUCAACAUUUCGGAUGAUUCAGGCCCUCUGGGAGUCAGGAAGCCCCAUACUCAUUGGUUUGAUACGCAGGAAUAAGCAUGAUACCCAUUCCACUUUUUCUGAGGCUGGAGAGUUUAAAGAAAGUAAUUGCAGAACAUGUAAGAAUCAGGAUCUUUCUGAUUUACCUUUCAAAAAUAUUCACUGCAUGCCUACUCUAGAGGCCCUGGAGAGAAAAGGAUAACCCGCUUUCAAGUUGCUCAACGUCUAAAUCUGUGCUGUACCUGACAGGUAUUGGCUACUUAGUCACUGGCUACUUGUGGCUACUGAUUGGACACUCAGAAUGUAUGUAGCUAGGCUGAAAUUAGAUGUGCUGUGUCAAAUGCGCACUGGAUUUCAAGAAUUAGUACCCCCCAAAUGUAAAAUAUCUCAGCUUUCGUAUUGACUUAAUGUUGAAAUUGAUAUUUUGGAUAUAUUGGGAUAAGUAUAAUAUUAAAUUAAUUUUACUUGUUCUUUUUAAAGCAGCUUCUAGAGUAUUUUAAAUACUGGCUCACAUUAUAUUUCUUUUGGACAGUGCUAGUCUAGAUUAAUAAUUAAGAAAUUUUGAUUGCCAUGGGGAAUCACUGGUUAUUUAAGCAAAUUCUUAGCUCCAACUAAUUUAUAUUACUGUGGCUUAAUUUGGGUAUUAAAAAAGAAAAGUAGGAGUUGGAGGGAGGGUUAAAUAGGUGGAACACAGAAGAUUUUGGGGGCAGUGAAACUGUUCUGUAUUAUCCUGUAUUGGUAGAUACAUAACAUUAUGCAUUUGACAAAACCCAUAGGACUAUACAACAGAAAGAGUGAACCCUAAUGUAGACUAUUGACUUUAGUUAAUGAUAUGUCAAUAUCAGUUCAUCAGUUGUAACAAAUGUACCACCUCAAUGCAAUAUGUUAAUAAUAGAGGAAACUGGUUAGGGGGCAGGAGUGGGAGUGUAUGGGAACUCUGCACUUCCUGUUCACUUUUUCUGUAAACCUAAAACUGCUCUAAGAAAUAAAGUCUGUGAACCUUUAAAAAA